AAAAGAUCGGUGAAGGCAUAAAGAAACUCCAGAUAUGCAGAUGGAAAAAUCAAGCAUCUCUGCUGAAAUGGUAUAACACUCGUUGAGCCUUGCAUUGUUGGGUAUGAAUCAAAGCCACCUCUGGUCAGAACACAUUAUCCUUCGCUGCUGAAACAUCAUCUG